CCCCCCAAAUUUAAUCUCUAUCUCUCUCAAUCUGAAUGAGCAGACACGAAAAUCACUACCACACAUGACUCCAACUCCACUGGCUAUGAGGAAGAAUACAAUUCAUUCUUUAAUAAAAAGAAGAGGGAAGAGAUGCUCGGUUUGGAGGAAGUAGAAAAGCUCAAGUAAACAAUUGAAGUUUUUUAUAUAUCAAUAGGAAAAUUUUGAAGUUAAAAAUUAUAUUUAAGAAUAGUAUUGGCAAUCGAACUCGUCAGGAAAAAAAGUUGGCUUCCUGGUGUCUGAAAAUUUAGGCGCUUAUGUUUUCA
rnacentral:lncRNA from 1 species